ACUCCCAACCAUCCCCGGUCCAGCUGAUGAUGGACUGGCAUGUUUUAUCGGUUAGAAGCUCCAACAGGAACUGCCACAGCUGGAUUGGGCCACUGCCUGUAGGGACAGAACCAAGAAGGCAUCAGAGACUGAGGUCCAUGAGUAGGGUAAGUGGCUCACCCGUGAAUCCAGCCAGAACUGCAGCAGGGAUGACAGGCUCGCCCGUCUCCACAGGUUUAUUCCUCUCCUGCACGUAGUCUUUAAAGGACAGACCCUGCUUUCCCAGGCUCAGAGGCACCGAGGCAAAGUCAUCCUCGAAGCUGUCAUGGGAGGGGACUCGCUGCAUGUCAGCCAGGGAAGACUGGCUGCCCCAAGAGCGAAGCAUGGACUCCGUGCCAUCAAUGCUGUCCACGCUCUCCAUUGAACUCUGGUCCUUGGAGGAGACUGCACACACAAAGAGAGACACGGGCAGGUUAGUCCCCUAAUCCAUAGCGCACUCAUCCACCAGUUAGAUUCUUUGAUGCUAGAACUCUAUUUUUUCAGAGCUUCUAAAGUGUACAAGACUUAUGUGGCACUUGUAAAUCAAACAAAAAGCAAAUAGUAAUCAGUAAUCCACUCUUAUGCACCGGCACAUACUUGGAGGUCAAACUUACAAGGUUUGCAAAGUCCAGUCGCUUGGCUGCUUCUGGAGAAGUCCUGGGAGAUGGGCAUGUAGUUGACACUGACAGUGUGCAGUUGGGGCUUGGAGAAAAUGGAGUACUUCGGCUCUGGGUUGAGGAGCGUGGUCCUGUCCGGGGCCUCAAAGAGCUCCCUCAAAAGGUUGCUGCUGCUGCAGUCGGGCACUUGAAGAGAGCUGCUGGUCUCCUCCAUGCUGAAGCCUGCGGGGACAACAGUUAAACUGAUUAAGUUACCACUCCCUCCUUCCUCAAACACCUCCCACUUCCAACGCAGCCCCUCACCAUCACACAAUUUCUUUAUUGUUUUAGUCCAAAGAAACACAAAUGCUUACCGACUGAGUUGUUAGUCAACCAGUUGGUCACUGAAGGCACAGUGCUACUGAGGUUCUGGGACUCUUCUUUCGCCUGGGAAUCUAUGGGACACAAUGAGGGACAACUCUGCUUGUAAAAAAACUCUAACAUACUCAAUGGAUAAUAGAUUAUGGAUACGAUAAUUGUGAAGCCACAUUGCUGGAAGAAAACUGGAAGGAGCACGACCAAUCGUGGUUGAAGGCUAGAAAUACCAACAGAACUACGCUGUCAAUGAUUGGUGAAUACUUUCAGGCUAUAUUUCUGGGAUCUGUAGGAAUUACUACUAGUGAAAGGAAGCCAGAAAAUAUCUACUAAUAACUGUGGGUAUUGUUCUGUUGUUGUUAGCAACGUAAUACGUGAUUAGUGGAACUCCUCUUCGUUAUCUUCCAGUAAGCAGACAUCACAAUUGUCUUAUUCAGAUUUUGUUAUACCUGACACACCAAGCUCUGCCCUUAACACAAAGCCUGCACUGAGCUCAGGACUGUGGGAACAGAAGCCCAGUCUCUCAUUACCUUUCAUCAUCUGAUCCAGGUGCUCCCAGAGGAUGUCACCCACAAAGUCCGGUGCCAGGUCCAGGAAGCGCUCCUUGCCCAGGUCACAGAGCUCCUGUCCAUUCAUGUUGAACUUGAAGAAGUUGAUGUUCGACAGGCUGAACUCAUUAGCUACCCAGAGCAGCCACUGUAUCACAUGUUGCUUGCUCCAUGUGCGGGGGUCUGCCAGACAAAGACAGUAGGUAUGUCACUAUUUGGAUGUGUCAGGUGCCAACCACAGCCAACCGUAAACUAAUAUAAUUUGAAAGGCAAAGUAGAAGCACAAAUUCAAUGCAGCGAUAGUACUGAACACGUUGAAACAAUGAAGCAAGGAGUAGAAAGCAGUGUGUCUUACAGCAAUUAGAUAAAAACACUCUAAAUCCCAAUACAAGACACUUCUCUCAUUAUGGGAAUGGUGCUUUUGAACAGUUAGCACAGAAAGAAGUUAGGAUCCUUUCAUCAGCUAAGUUGCGGUGUACAAGCUGGUUUCACUAAAGUUGGAAAAAGUGAAAGAGGCAGAGGGAAGAGACUUACUGUUGGAGAUCCCACAGCGAUGUUGCACUUUGGCAAACCCACUGAAGCUGUCGUUAAGGGCCUGGCUCAUCACUGCUUUGCUGCAGGGGGUCAGCAGGGGCACCGUGCAGGGACCCAGAUCUGUGGGACAGCAUGAACAUGCACUCUAAGGAUCCUGUUACACUAAGCAAUCUACACACAACUUCUGUUACAUGCAACUAAAUUGCUCUAGGAUUGCAUCGUGUAACACCAAUGCAAAUUACUUGCAACUCGGAUGAAUUUAGUUGCAGCCGGUUCUGAACAGCUCAACUUCAAGCAACCGAUUUCAUGCAAUAGCUAAUCUGAGUAGAGAUACAGGUCGCACAUGCACUUAUGCACCUACAUUUUAAUCCGUAAUAUUAAUUUAGCUAAUAUGGUGUUUUUGGGGUUUCUUCCUCAUUUUCAAGGAGAUCGAAAAUUGGGAAUAUUAACACAUAAACAUUUGUGUUUCCUUGUUGAAAGUAUUGCCAGUGACAUUAAGGACAAAAAACAUAGCGAACAAUACACCGUUAUAUUAUCAACCGUGAAUGUCCUGAAAUUAUACUAAAAUAAACACCGAUAGAAUGUAUCAAUGCAACGUCAAAUGAGAUUACGUAACACACUUUAUUCUGUUUGUUGAUUGACUACAAUUUUAAUUUCUUGCAAAUUGUCUCGUGUAACAGUGUUAUCGCUUGAAAUAACAUCAGAGCCAAUGUGUUGCAAGCAACAGAAGUUGUGUGGAAAUUGUUUGGUGAAACAAAACCCUAAGACACAUCAGCAGGGAUGAAACCUAGACCCCGCAGGCAGCGGUUUUCUUUUGGAGAAUAAAUGCCAAAGCAGGUUGGCUUGGCAAUGGCACUAAUGACCAGCUGCUCCUCUGCCAUACGUUAGGCAUUACAGCAGAAGGGAUGUAAUGCUACCUGCCACACAGCCCUGGUUUACUUCUCUUGCUGUUUAUGACCACAAAGACCAGCAGGGUGUCAACUUCUUUUGAAAUUUAAGGUUUAGCCUCCCAGCUUGCCUGAUUAUAAAGGGAUGGAAUGAAUCGUAACUGUACAGGCACUGAAUAAAUUUACAUUGUAACCAGGCGUAAUGCAGUUCUGGUGUAAUUUUGCAAUGAUGUGGAUUUCUUGUUCGUGUUCUCCCUCAGCUGAGCAGACACAGAGGAUUUCAAAUGUACUGAGGAUUUCAAAAUAGCGGUAACUGCGUUAUUUAUUUCAAAAGGUUUCUCACCAUUUCCCGUCAAGUCAUUUUCAUCACUGAGAGAUGACGUAACUCAAAUUUGUAGGAUAUUUGCCAUUCACGCUUAACCAGGUCAUGCGAGACGCCCCUAACAAAUAAUAAUUUUUUACACUUUCAGAUGUGAUUUUGGGUCUUAAGGUACCAUUUAACACCCGUUUGCUCACAAAUCAUAUGGGUCUUCAGUGAGCAGAAUUAAAAAAAAAAAAAAAAAAAAA